CUGCGUGAGCGUGGAUGAUAAUUUUUACAUUUGUGAGAGCGUUUCAAUUGGGUAGUAGAGGCUGAGGGGAGUUGAAAUUCUAAGGUAGUUGGAUGAGGUUAGUUGGUAGGUUUCUAGGGGAUUAUGUUGUUAGUGUUGGAGUUAUUGGGGGUUUUUAGUUUUUUUUUUAAUUAUUUAAUUAAUGAAUUUUAUCUAAUUUAAUUUUAAUUUUGUUUUCCAAAAGAAAUCCCGUCUUGUUUUUUUACGUCAUUUUUCUGUUCCCUCUUCUCCUCAGGUGGUGACACAUGGCAACCUUUCAAUAUGCCACGAGGUGAAUAGAAAUUUUGAAAAAUUAUAAAAACACUUUAAAAAUAU
rnacentral:lncRNA from 1 species